UACGUAAGGUGCGAGCGUUGUCCGGAAUUAUUGGGCGUAAAGAGCUUGUAGGCGGUUCUGUCGCGUCUGCUGUGAAAACCCGGGGCUCAACUCCGGGCCUGCAUUCGAUACGGGCGGACUAGAGUUCGGUGGGGGAGACUGGAAUUCCUGGUGUAGCGGUGAAAUGCGCAGAUAUCAGGAGGAACACCGGUGGCGAAGGCGGGUCUCUGGGCCGAUACUGACGCUGAGGAGCGAAAGCGUGGGGAGCGAACAGG
rnacentral:rRNA from 1 species